rnacentral:tRNA from 1 species
GGGCCUCUAGCUCAAUUGGUAGAGCUGCGGACUUUUAAUCCGUAGGUUGCGGGUUCGAGCCCCGCGGGGCCCACCA